rnacentral:rRNA from 1 species
AACGCGAAGAACCUUACCCGGGCUUGAACUACAGGUGGUAAGUCCCUAGAAACAGGGGCUGACCCGCAAGGGAGCCUGCAGAGGUGCUGCAUGGUUGUCGUCAGCUCGUGUCGUGAGAUGUUGGGUUAAGUCCCGCAACGAGCGCAACCCCUAUUCGAUGUUGCCACUCCCGCAAGGGAAGCACUCUUCGAAAACUGCCUUCGAUAAGAAGGAGGAAGGUGGGGACGACGUCAAAUCCUCAUGGCCCUUAUGUCCGGGGCUACACACGUGUUACAAUGGCCGGUACAAUGGGAAGCAAUGCCGCAAGGUGGAGCCAAACCAAAAAGCCGGCCCCAGUUCAGAUUGUGGGCUGCAACUCGCCCACAUGAAGGCGGAAUCGCUAGUAAUCGCUGAUCAGCAGGCAGCGGUGAAUACGUUCCCGGGCCUUGUA